UACGGGGGGAGCAAGCGUUGUUCGGAUUUAUUGGGCGUAAAGAGCGUGUAGGCGGCCAGGUAGGUCUGCUGUGAAAACUCGAGGCUCAACCUCGAGACGUCGGCGGAAACCAUCUGGCUAGAGUCCGGAAGAGGAGAGUGGAAUUCCUGGUGUAGCGGUGAAAUGCGCAGAUAUCAGGAAGAACACCGGUGGCGAAGGCGGAUCUCUGGGCCUUACCUGACGCUGAGGCGCGAAAGCUAGGGGAGCAAACAGG
rnacentral:rRNA from 1 species